CAAACAGGAAGUUAAUAUCACCAACCAUUCCCGUUUUAUUAAGGUGUAUCCAUAUAAAUGGCCCACCCUGUAUAACCAACCCCCCUUCAGCCAAGAGUUUAUUCACCCUUCCAGGGAGGUCUCCCACCUGUGCGUUUAGAAGGCAGCACACUGUGUCAGACUGUCUCUUGAGCAAACCCAUUUUUGAGGCCUCUCAUCCCUGCCUACCUCUUCAAAGUUUUCAGACUCGCCAUCCAGCUCUGCAAGGACCUGAGAAGGGUUUAAUACUUCCAAUUCUGAGGUUGGUGCCCUUGGAUGGUGUGCACCCUUCAUCUUGUUUCCAUGUGCCACAUUAGGGGUCAGGUCCACCAAUUUUCAACUGCAAUGUAAGCUACCUACCUUCUCUUCUGAUUCAGUGACCCUGAGCUCCAGUUGCUGAAUCAGCUGACAUCACCUACAGACAGAGCCUUCAAGGGGUACAGACACGUCCUCCUUGGCACUCUUCAAAAAGUCUUGCAUCACACAGGGUCAUUGAAUGAUUUUAUAUUCGUCAACCAUGAAUCUGAUCCUAUUUGUCGAUGUGUGUCCUGCUUUAACACCUGUAAGAGUCGCAGCUCAUAUUUAGGCUACAGUGGAACUGUCUGUGCUUCCGUCUGUACUAUGCAAAUAAUCAUUUACACAUCAUGGUCUUUGAGCAAUUUUAUAUUCAUCAGUCAGGAACCUGAACCUGUCCUGCUUUAACAUCUCUAUACGCUGUAGUUGUUAGGUGGACUACAAUGGAGUUGUCUGCACUUCAAGGCUGUACUUGGCAAAUCGCCAUCUUUAUCAUGCAAGGACUUUGAACGAUUUUACAUUCAUCAAUCAGGAACCUAAACCUGUCCUGCUUUAACAUCUCUACACACUGUAGAUAGUAUUUGGGCUACAAAGGAAUUGUCUGCACUUCAAGGCGAUACAGUGUAAAUCGUCAUCUUUGUCAUGCAAAUUCAUCAAUCAGUAACCCGAACCCGAUGUUACUUUAACAUCUCUAUAAGCUGUAGCUGGUAGUUGGACUACAAUGGAAUUGUCUGCACUUCAAGGCUACACUGUGCAAAUCAUCAUCUUUAUCAUGCAGGGACUUUCAACGAUUUUAUAUUCAUUAAUCAGGCUACAAUGGAAUUGUCUGCACUUCAAGGCAAUACAGUGUAAAUCAUCAUCUUUAUCAU